rnacentral:tRNA from 2 species
GUGACCGUAGUUCAAAGGUUGAGAAUCUCGCGAUGUGACCGCGAGGAUGACGGGUCAGUACCGUCCGGUCACCCCA